rnacentral:rRNA from 1 species
CCUACGGGUGGCAGCAGUGGGGAAUAUUGGACAAUGGGCGAAAGCCUGAUCCAGCCAUGCCGCGUGUGUGAAGAAGGCCUUCGGGUUGUAAAGCACUUUCAGUGGGGAAGAAAGCCUUGGGGCUAAUACCCUCGAGGAAGGACAUCACCCACAGAAGAAGCACCGGCUAACUCCGUGCCAGCAGCCGCGGUAAUACGGAGGGUGCGAGCGUUAAUCGGAAUUACUGGGCGUAAAGCGCGCGUAGGCGGUCUGAUAAGCCGGUUGUGAAGGCCACGGGCUCAACCUGGGAACGGCAUCCGGAACUGUCAGGCUAGAGUGCAGGAGAGGAAGGUAGAAUUCCCGGUGUAGCGGUGAAAUGCGUAGAGCUCGGGAGGAAUACCAGUGGCGAAGGCGGCCUUCUGGACUGACACUGACGCUGAGGUGCGAAAGCGUGGGUAGCAAACAGGAUUAGAUACCCUGGUAGUC